rnacentral:rRNA from 1 species
GUUGACCUCGGAUCAGGUAGGGAUACCCGCUGAACUUAAGCAUAUCAAUAAGCGGAGGAAAAGAAACCAACAGGGAUUGCCCUAGUAACGGCGAGUGAAGCGGCAACAGCUCAAAUUUGAAAUCUGGCGUCUUCGGCGUCCGAGUUGUAAUUUGUAGAGGAUGCUUCUGGGCAGCCACCGGUCUAAGUUCCUUGGAACAGGACGUCAUAGAGGGUGAGAAUCCCGUAUGCGACCGGAAAGGCACCCUCCACGUAGCUCCUUCGACGAGUCGAGUUGUUUGGGAAUGCAGCUCUAAAUGGGAGGUAAAUUUCUUCUAAAGCUAAAUACUGGCCAGAGACCGAUAGCGCACAAGUAGAGUGAUCGAAAGAUGAAAAGCACUUUGGAAAGAGAGUUAAAAAGCACGUGAAAUUGUUGAAAGGGAAGCGUUUGCAACCAGACUUGCUCGCGGUGUUCCGCCGGUCUUCUGACCGGUUCACUCGCCGCGUUGCAGGCCAGCAUCGUCUGGGGCCGCCGGACAAGACCUUGGUAAUGUAGCUCCCCCUCGGGGGAGUGUUAUAGACCAUGUUGAUGCGGCGCGUCCCGGGCGAGGUCCGCGCUUCGGCUAGGAUGCUGGCGUAAUGGUUGUAAACGGCCCGUCUUGAAACACGGACCAAGGAGUCUAACAUCUAUGCGAGUGUUCGGGUGUCAAACCCCUACGCGUAAUGAAAGUGAACGGAGGUGGGAACUUUAUUGUGCACCAUCGACCGAUCCUGAUGUCUUCGGAUGGAUUUGAGUAAGAGCAUAGCUGUUGGGACCCGAAAGAUGGUGAACUAUGCCUGAAUAGGGUGAAGCCAGAGGAAACUCUGGUGGAGGCUCGCAGCGGUUCUGACGUGCAAAUCGAUCGUCAAAUUUGGGUAUAGGGGCGAAAGACUAAUCGAACCAUCUAGUAGCUGGUUCCUGCCGAAG